UACGAAGGGGGCGAGCGUUGUUCGGAAUUACUGGGCGUAAAGGGCGCGCAGGCGGUCCUUCAAGUCAGAUGUGAAAGCCCCGGGCUCAACCUGGGAACUGCAUUUGAGACUGGAGGACUUGAGGACGGGAGAGGAGAGUGGAAUUCCCAGUGUAGAGGUGAAAUUCGUAGAUAUUGGGAAGAACACCGAUGGCGAAGGCAGCUUUCUGGACCGUUACUGACGCUGAGGCGCGAAAGCGUGGGGAGCAAACAGG
rnacentral:rRNA from 1 species